AAAUAAUAUAAAAGUAACGAACUUGGGAAUUACAUUGAAACGUGCGAAAUAUUUUGAAACUUAAGCAAUACAAUUAUGAAAGUUUACAUCUAUUUAGUAAUGAUUUAUGUGGUCAUAGGUCAGGUGUCAACAGCAACACCAGAACAACUCCUACAAGCUGAAAUGGAAUUAAAGGGCAUAUUUGAAUACCUAGCACAAACCAGAGAAUUGAGUCUUAUUGUCGAGAAAAUGAUAGACGUGGAAAUAUCUUUCACUGGUGUGAAAUUUCGCGCAAAUCUUAUAAUUAACCAUCUGCUCUUUAGAACCUGUACCAUAGAACUUAACAUUACAUACUUCGGUAAAACUAAUUUAAAAAUUGAUUGUUCUGGCGAUCUGAAAUUUUUCGAUUCAUUUUAUAGGCCUUUAAUGUAUAUUUAAAAAUUUUAUAAAAAAAAUUUUGUAUAUCAAUUACAUUAAUU